rnacentral:rRNA from 1 species
AGUUGCGAUCAUACCAGCCCUAAUGCAACGGUUCCCAUCAAAACUCAGCAGUUAAGCUUGCUUGGGCGAGAGUAGUACUAGGAUGGGUGACCCCCUGGGAAGUCCUCGUGUUGCAACCCC